UACGAAGGGGGCUAGCGUUGUUCGGAUUUACUGGGCGUAAAGCGCACGUAGGCGGAUCGUUAAGUCGGGGGUGAAAUUCUGGAGCUCAACUCCAGAACUGCCUUCGAUACUGGCGAUCUUGAGUCCGGAAGAGGUGAGUGGAACUCCUAGUGUAGAGGUGGAAUUCGUAGAUAUUAGGAAGAACACCAGUGGCGAAGGCGGCUCACUGGUCCGGUACUGACGCUGAGGUGCGAAAGCGUGGGGAGCAAACAGG
rnacentral:rRNA from 1 species